UACGGGGGGUGCGAGCGUUGUCCGGAAUCACUGGGCGUAAAGGGCGCGUAGGCGGCCUGGUAAGCGUGCGGUGAAAGCCCGGGGCUCAACCCCGGGUCGGCCGUGCGAACUGCGAGGCUGGAGCACUGUAGAGGCAGGUGGAAUUCCGGGUGUAGCGGUGGAAUGCGUAGAGAUCCGGAAGAACACCGGUGGCGAAGGCGGCCUGCUGGGCAGUGGCUGACGCUGAGGCGCGACAGCGUGGGGAGCAAACAGG
rnacentral:rRNA from 1 species